UACAGAGGUCCCAAGCGUUGUUCGGAUUCAUUGGGCGUAAAGGGUGCGUAGGCGGCGCGGUAAGUCGGGUGUGAAAUCUCGGAGCUUAACUCCGAAACUGCAUUCGAUACUGCCGUGCUUGAGGACUGGAGAGGAGACUGGAAUUUACGGUGUAGCGGUGAAAUGCGUAGAUAUCGUAAGGAAGACCAGUGGCGAAGGCGGGGUCUCUGGACAGUUCCUGACGCUGAGGCACGAAGGCCAGGGGAGCAAACGGGGAUUAGAAA
rnacentral:rRNA from 1 species